GGGCUUCGGCCCGCGAGUACAGUGGCAGACGGGUGAGUAAUACGUGGGUAACCUACCCGGAGGUGGGGGAUAACCCUUCGAAAGGAGGGCUAAUACCGCAUGACACCUCGAGUGCUCCGGUUCUUGAGAUCAAAGCUUGCCUCUACUCGUAAGCAAGCGCCACCGGAGGGGCCCACGCCCCAUUAGCUUGUUGGUGAGGUAACGGCUCACCAAGGCGACGAUGGGUAGCCGGCCUGAGAGGGUGACCGGCCACACUGGAACUGAGACACGGUCCAGACUCCUACGGGAGGCAGCAGUGAGGAAUCUUGCGCAAUGGGCGAAAGCCUGACGCAGCGACGCCGCGUGGAGGACGAAGGCCUUCGGGUCGUAAACUCCUGUCAAGCGGGACGAAUCCCGGGCGGAUGAAUAAGCCGACCGGUUGACGGUACCGCUGGAGGAAGCCCCGGCUAACUCCGUGCCAGCAGCCGCGGUAAUACGGAGGGGGCCAGCGUUGUUCGGAAUUAUUGGGCGUAAAGGGCGCGUAGGCGGCCGCGCAAGUCGGAAGUGAAAUCCCUCGGCUCAACCGAGGAAUGGCCUCCGAUACUGCAUGGCUUGAGUCCCGGAGGGGGUAGUGGAAUUCCCAGUGUAGCGGUGAAAUGCGUAGAUAUUGGGAGGAACACCAGUGGCGAAGGCGACUACCUGGAC
rnacentral:rRNA from 1 species